rnacentral:rRNA from 1 species
CACGUAGGAGGCGAGCGUUGUCCGGAAUCAUUGGGCGUAAAGAGCGCGCAGGCGGCUUGGCAAGUCGGGUGUGAAAUCCCGGGGCUCAACCCCGUGACUGCAUUCGAUACUGUCAGGCUAGAGGUAGGUAGGGGAGAUCGGAAUUCCUGGUGUAGCGGUGAAAUGCGCAGAUAUCAGGAGGAACACCGGUGGCGAAGGCGGGUCUCUGGGCCGAUACUGACGCUGAGGAGCGAAAGCAUGGGUAGCGAACAGG